rnacentral:lncRNA from 1 species
CGUCAUGAAAUAAACAUAAGGGGUAACACUGUCGAUAUUCAUAAAAUAAAACAUAGGGGGUAACACUGUUGUUUUUCUUUGGUCGUCAUGAAAAAAACAUAAGGGGUAACACUGUUGUUUUUCAUUGGUCGUCAUGAAAAAAACAAAAGGGGUAACACUGUUGUUUUUUAUUGGUCGUCAUGAAAAAAAAACAUAAGGGGUAACACUGUUGUUUUUUAUUGGUCUUCAUGAAAAACCACAUAAGGGGUAACACUGUUGUCUUUGUCAAAUAAAAUAUAAGUCGUUUUUUAUUGGUCGUCAUGAAAAAAAACAUAAGGGGUAACACUGUUGUUUUUAAUUGGUCGUCAUGAAAAAAAACAUAAGGGGUAACACUGUUGAUAUUCAUCAAAUAAAACAUUGGGGGUAACACUGUUGUUUUUCUUUGGUCGUCAUGAAAAAAUACAUAAGGGGUAACUCUAUUGUUUGUUAUUGGUCGUCAUGAAAAAAUACAUAAGGGGUAACACUGUUGUUUUUUAUCGGUCGUCAUGAAAAAAACAAAAGGGGUAACACUUGUUUUUUAUUGGUCGUCAUGAAAAAAAAACAUAAGGGGUAACACUGUUGUCUUUGUCAAAUAAAAUAUAAAUUGUUUUUUAUUGGUCGUCAUGAAAAAAAACAUGAGGGGUAACACUGUUGUUUUUUAUUGGUCGUCAUCAAAAAAUACAUAAGGAGUAACAAUGUUGUUUUUUAUUGGUCGUCAUGAAAAAAAACAUAAGGGGUAACACUGUUGUUUUUUAUUGGUCGUCAAGAAAAAAAACAUAAGGGGUAACACUGUCGAUAUUCAUCAAAUAAAACAUAGGGGGUAACACUGUUGUUUUUCUUUGGUCGUCAUGAAAAAAUACAUAAGGGGUAACACUGUUGUCUUUGUCAAAUAAAAUAUAAGUCGUUUUUUAUUGGUCGUCAUGAAAAGAAACAUAAGGGGUAACACUGUUGUUUUUGAUUGGUCGUCAUGAAGAAAAACAUAAGGGGUAACACUGUUGU